AGCACUCUCUCACCUGAUUUCCUUAAGAUCCAUUUUAGUAUAAUCCUUUUUCCUUUUCCCUAUACGCGCUACGUGCCCGGCCUAGCUCUUUGAUUCGACCAUAUUUGGUGAAGGGUACAAGUUAUGAAGCUCCUCAUUGGCCAAUUUCCUCAUGCCUCCUGUCACUUCGCCCCUCUUACGUCCAAAUAUUCCCACCAUCUUACGUUCUCCCUCAAUCUGUGCUCUUUCCUUACAGUGAGAGACAAAGUUUGACAUCGAUACAAAACAUCAGGGGCUGAGAUGCUUCAAGCAUCACAAAUACAACAUAGUUCAAACCUGGCAAUGUGGCUCAGACUAUAUAUAUACGGUCUGCAUGGCUUCUUCAUUGAAAUCCUUUUCACUGCAGGUUGGGAGUUCAUUGUCAGUGGCAACUGGAAACUCCCAGGUUACACAAGCGUAUGGUCUUUGGCCAUUUACGGCAUAUCAGGGAUGGUCAUGGAACGCAUAUACGCAGCUUGCAAGCGAUCAAGAGUGUCCCUUCUCCUUCGUGGGGUGUAUUACCUCUUGUGGGUCUACACGUGGGAGUUCUCGACAGGAUUCUUAUUGAAGCAAUUCAAUGCCUGCCCAUGGGACUACUCUGAAUUUAAUUAUAACGUUCGAGGACUUAUAACAUUUGAAUAUGCACCCUUAUGGUUCUUUGUCUCGAUAUUAAUGGAAAGAAUAGUCAUUGCACAUAUAUCAGACCUACGCUGGGUCACAUCAUCGUCUCACAACGGACUUGCCGCGAGACUCAAAGACUGAAUUGCCACGUCGUCAAGUACAGUAUCACACCACAUGCAUUAUACCCGGAGAUAAGAAUUUUAAUACUCGCGAAAUCAAUACGUACAGCUACUGGCCAGUUAUAGAUUCAUUAAGAGAAAUGUAUUGAACAUGGCCAAUCUCCAGCUAAGCCGGUUUUCAAGCGUAUUAUACGUAUUAUAAAUUGUUAUAAGGGUCUUUUGAAACUCAGUUACUUCUGAAUAUUCUAAUACACGGCAAUUGGAUUAAAUUGAAAACAUUCCAGACCAUAAAUACCAAAAUGGUACAAGCAUAAUUACAAUAAUAAUAAUAAUUUUAUGAAGUUCUGAACGAUCGUAUAGUCAAAAAUUAAUUUUGUUAAUAUUACAAUGCAAAGACGUCUAAGUUAAUGCCAGAAUUCAGUAUUCAAGGCAAUUCAGGGUCUUAGCACAGAUAAUAUUGUUUAGUUACUGGUUAAAUAUGGUGCACUUCUUCAGAAAAGUAAUUUAAAUUUAAAUAUAAACACUAUCAUUUCAUACUUUUGUAAUGAAUCUCGUUGUUACUUCCAAAGCAAGUUGCUGCUCUCAUUUGCCACGAUGUAUUUUCCUCUAAAAGCUUUAUUUAUAAAAAAUACAAGUUUAAUAUAAAAGCCGUGUUAUUUGUGAAAAUAAAAUCCAGUUAUGCACAAACAUAAUUAAUGCUCACUUCGUUGAUGGAAAAAAUGCAGUCCGAGAAAAAGAUGGAAGGAUCCGGUUCAUAUUACGUCGACAACCUCCUGUAAAGGAGACGACGUAAUAAAGAAGAAUUGAAUAUCAUCAGGAGUAACAGACUGUUAAGUUUAAUAUUAAAUGAUUUAAGUACAAUUUAAGAUUAAUCUGACUCAGUCAGCAAAGAAACUUCCUACAUUUGUUCCAGAUGCCACUUACGCUAGUUAAAGUCCUCUUCAGAAUUUGAUUUUGGCUUUUGCUUUACCACCUGAGAUACAAAGAGUGUCUCCAGAGGCAAGGACAAUUGAUAAAUAUUUUAUGAACGUGUAGAUUGAACUGUUCAAGGAUAUCACUACUUCUAAUUUUCACAGUAACUAAAUUUUGAACAGCUGAUGUGGAGUAAAAGUUUGAAAUUUUGGAGACUCGAUCAUCGCGGACGAAGACUGUCUCCGGAAGAUCAGACUUUAAUUCUGUAAAAUUGUAGUGAUCACCCAGGAAGUCUUUAAAGCUAGAAUUUUUUUAUCACAUGACAACACUGCCAAGGUGUUUCCCCGUUGAAAAGUCAAUGAAUAAUGGUAAUAUGGUGACCAAAUAUGAAAAUUCAGCCAUGUUGGCAUAAGAUUCUAAAUGCCAUUCGACUAGCACUACAGGACGUAAACGGUCUGCGAUUAUAUCAGUACGUUAACUCUAUUGACCAUCCGGUGUUUUAUCAACAUAAUUGUAGACUUGGCGAUGAUGUAUUCUGGACCAAGUAAAUUACAAGCUGUAGUUGUAGAUGAAAGCAUAACGUGUUUUGAUACCCUGUACUAUAGAAUGUUAUUAGAAUAAUUGUGUUAAAACUCGGAACAAGCCGUUAGCUGCCUAACAGAUAAAAUAGAAUUGUGAUCGUAUAAUUGAAGAUAAAUGUCCAAAAAUUAUUGCUUAGAACAGUUUUAGAAGAAUGUAUGUUACGGUAUUUAAAUACUUAAGGAUUCUUUUUUAUAUUUCACUUUUUCUUAGAGUACGUACGUAAAAGUAAACUUUAUCUAAGAAAUAUUGUGUUAUAGAUGCGUGUAAUCACUGAGGUUACUGAAAAUAAAGUUAUGAAUAAAAAUA